rnacentral:tRNA from 2 species
GUCCCAGUAGCUUACAACAAAGCAUGGCACUGAAGAUGCCAAGACGGUUACUAUUCAUGACCCGCGGACA